UACGGAGGGUGCAAGCGUUAUCCGGAUUCACUGGGUUUAAAGGGAGCGUAGGCGGAACGAUAAGUCAGUGGUGAAAGCCCCGAGCUCAACUUGGGAAUUGCCAUUGAUACUGUUGUUCUUGAGUUCGGUUGAGGUAGGCGGAAUGUUGCAUGUAGCGGUGAAAUGCUUAGAUAUGCAACAGAACACCGAUUGCGAAGGCAGCUUACCAAGCCGACACUGACGCUGAGGCUCGAAAGCGUGGGGAUCAAACAGG
rnacentral:rRNA from 1 species